CCUGCCAACUCAUUCUUCUUUCCCAGCUUUUUUCUAUAAUAUACCCUUAAGGGCUUUGGUGCUUGAUCUUGGCCCAAGUCUUCCUGAUUCGCUAAUGGGCUGCUUCUAUCAGUCCCCCACAGAAGAUGUCAAAGAUAUGGUAGCAUCUGAAUUCUUCAAUAAUGCUUCUUUCAUCAAUUUGGCUGAAGAACAACAUGCUUAAUCUGUGUUCUAUUGUACGUGUAAGAUAUGUGAAUAAAUCCGUCACUACCCUGAAUAACUGCUGGGUAGGAGAAUUCCAUUUCUGGAUUUUCCUCCAAUGUAAUAACAUCAUACCAUGAG
rnacentral:misc_RNA from 1 species